rnacentral:rRNA from 1 species
AACGAACGCUGGCGGCGUGGAUAAGACAUGCAAGUCGAACGGGAGUUUGUUUGUAGCAAUAUGAGUGAACUCUAGUGGCGAAAGGGUGCGUAACACGUGGCUACCUACCUCGAAGUUGGGGAUAGCUCGGCGAAAGCCGGAUUAAUACCGAAUGUGAUCGUGAGAUCAAAGCUGGGGAUCGUAAGACCUGGCGCUUUGAGAUGGGGCUGCGGCCUAUCAGCUAGNGGUGAGGUAACGGCUCACCAAGGCUUAGACGGGUAGCUGGUCUGAGAGGACGACCAGCCACACUGGAACUGAGACACGGUCCAGACACCUACGGUGGC